rnacentral:rRNA from 1 species
UACCGCUCUAUAACCCUUUGUGAACGUACCUAACCGUUGCUUCGGCGGGCAGGGGAAGCCUCUCGCGGGCCUCCCCUCCCGGCGCCGGCCCCCACCACGGGGACGGGGCGCCCGCCGGAGGAAACCAAACUCUAUUUACACGACGUCUCUUCUGAGUGGCACAAGCAAAUAAUUAAAACUUUUAACAACGGAUCUCUUGGUUCUGGCAUCGAUGAAGAACGCAGCGAAAUGCGAUAAGUAAUGUGAAUUGCAGAAUUCAGUGAAUCAUCGAAUCUUUGAACGCACAUUGCGCUCGCCAGCAUUCUGGCGAGCAUGCCUGUUCGAGCGUCAUUUCAACCCUCAAGCACCGCUUGGUUUUGGGGCCCCACGGCCGACGUGGGCCCUUAAAGGUAGUGGCGGACCCUCCCGGAGCCUCCUUUGCGUAGUAACUAACGUCUCGCACUGGGAUCCGGAGGGACUCUUGCCGUUAAACCCCCAAAUUCUUUACAGGUUGACCUCGGAUCAGGUAGGAAUACCCGCUGAACUUAAGCAUAUCAAUAAGCGGAGGAA